ensembl:lncRNA
GAAGAUCUGUGUUCUCUCCCGCCACAGCUUUAUUGGCAUGAAAAGCCACAGGAGCAAUGUCCUGGGAGAUCUGUAGAUGUGGCCCUGGGUUUAAAUGGUGAUUGCCAUUAGUUCAGGAAAGAUGUUAGGCUAAUUUUCACUUUUUUUCUUCAUCUUUUAAAGCAUCUAUUAUAUUAUUUUGGGGCAAUUAUACUUUUGGGAAUCAAAGCUUGGAGAGGAAAUGAGCGAUUUGCUAUGCUUUAAACCAGUGAUUUAAACUGGAUGAUCGUUUCAAUAUUGCUGAGAAAUUCAGACUCCCAUGAACCACCCCUUACAUGAACAGGAUAAUGGAACUGCCUUAAAAAGCACUCCGCACAUCCCAGGAGCAGCCACGUCGCUUGGACCUUAAUUCCAUUCCACCAUUCCUACUGCCGUAACUCCAUAGACUUUAAAGCGUUGAAUAAGAGCCAGAUGUACAGCACAGUCAAGAGAAAUUUCCAUUGGAUUUUCUUCCAUAGAUAAUGCCCUGAAAGACCCACGGUCAAACCCUCCUCCCCCGUAAGCUGGAUCUCUUUGUCCAGUUAGACCUCUGUGUCUGCCUCAGGCUCCUGGAAUUCCCUUGAAGGAGCUCAGCACUCUCUGAGUGCAUUUUAGCUGUCGUGGCCAAGUUUACCCACAAAUACUAUUUUUUCCCCUUCUAAUUUAUUGCACAGAGAGACCAAUGCUGCACAGAGAUGUACCUAAACUUAUGUUUAGGUCUCGAAAGCAUUCUGCUUAGAAACUGUAUCACGUGUUCAGAGCCGCUAGGUUCCUGCUCCCCUGAAAGGAAGCACCCUCAGUUUUCUAUUAAUGUGAGGACAGUUUCCAGUGAUCUUCCCCUGGUGAGGCCGUUUCACGCUGCACCCAUCACGAUGCUGCCAUCUGAACUUCUCUUACUUGGAACCACCAUCGCUCAAGUUGUCAGUCUGGCAGCACAGUGGGUUGGCUCGGCUCUUCUCAAAUGGAUGCUCUCAAAGUCAGUACGUGUAACCUUUGGCUUUCCUACAUUUUCCAUCACUCAAGAUGCCUCCUUGUCUUCUCAGAAGGCUGGAGAGCAGCACAGGGCUGGCCUCACAGAGCCAAAACACCCAUGGCCGGGACAGCCAGAGGGUGAGAACUCAGAGCAGUGAUUCAGGCAUCAAGGAAAGCCUGUGCUGGCUGGAUCACUGCCCCAGUAGGGGUGAGUGUCCACCUACUUCCAAGGGAGUCCCCAGGCAUUUUGGGGCACCUUUUUCACCCUAACUGAAGGUAAUCAGAAUGACAGAAAAUCAGGAAAUGACCUUCUGUGUUUAUCAGGCAUUUCUAUAAGCAAAUGCCCCUCCAUUGCUCCUUUGUUAGUUUAAACAAACUGAAUGAAGGCACUUUUCCUUCACGGUCAGUUUUUCAUGUUCAGUAUCUCCUUUUUCACAUUUAGUAUCUUUCAGUUAAAAGGAUUGACCAGCUUGCCUGGAUUCCACCUCAGAGGAAACAGAUUUAGCAGUUUCCCUGGAAAAUACCAAGUAAGCAAAACUCUUCAGCAAGUUCUUAAUGAAACCUACUUUCAGAAGUAACUUUUCAGUCUGCCUUCAUUUAUCAUAAAUUAAAGGGCAGAAAAUCAGCCUUUCAUCUUCAGUGUUUAUUUCUAAUCCCCAUAAAAGAAUUAAGGUGAGCAGUCCACACAGCUUAGCAAGCAGCCUUCUGUCUCUUUAAGGCUGUUUAUGAAUCACUGUAACAAGAAUAACGAGUAAUCUGAAGCUGAUUGACGAAGCUAUGUGGCUAUCAGCUAGGACAGUGCUCGCCUCAUAGCGUUGUGUGCCCGCAGGCCCUGCAGAGCGGGCUGGCAUUAAGCUGGCAGUGUCCCAGAGCAAAGGUUAACUCCAGGAAAAACUUAUACUGGAUUUUAAUAAAACUUUCCUCAAAGGUCAGCCUCUCUAAGGUAUAAAAUCGAUUUUUCUUCCCUCCUUCUACUUCAGCCUGUUAGGCACAGCUACAGAAAAUCCUCAUCCUCACGGAAUGUUUCCCAUCGCCUUUUUUCCGCCUCACCCUUAUCACAGCAUCUGCCAGCCUGUGAGCGCUCAUUGUCUCAGCCAUCUUAUUUGGUCUCACGGCUCCCAUUUCACACUCUGUACCUGGCCUUCUCAGGACCCGUUCCCCUUUCUCACACCACCAAUUAUCAGGCUGUUCUUCUGCAACAGAUCCUGCCACAUAGCAGCUUCAGGACACAAAACCUUUUCAGUUCAUCCCUGAAGGUGCCAGAUUUCUCCUAGUUUUAAUUUUUUUCUUACUGAGCAGAUGCCUCCUGUGUCUUGCCUGGGACUCCAGAAACUUUAGACAAGUAAAGCAGAGCAUCAGUACCACACCACUUAGGAGUGAAUGCUGUCCUUGUGAGCGCUAUGCUCCUGCAGGUUAAAAGUCAGAAUUCGCUUUUCAGACAAGAAGGGAUAAACUGAAAGUUUCUUUGGAGCCCCAGAAGCGGGUUUGAUUCCUGCCGGCCUGCAGCCUCAUUCCCAGGGCAGUCCCACAUCCCCAGCAUUGGGGUUUCCCAGCAGCACGCAAUUUGAGCACCGACCGCAUCAGGAGCUUCCUUCACGUGAGCCGCAGGAGAGCACAUCUCCAGCCUUACAGAGUCUCACAGCAGUCCUGAUUACACAAGAAUCAGCUCUGUAUAUUGACCUCAGCUCCUAACGCUCGCGUUAAAGCCAUUCAGCCUCCGCUCAGGUUUCAGCAGUGCGGUUAUUCUCUUUGUGAGGCCGCUCCCCAAAUCCCACCUGCAAACACCGACCUCUGAGGCAGCACAGCGCUCCCACUUCAAUGGGAAUCCUGCUGCGGCCUCAGCGUGCGCAGAGCAGUUACAGGUGAACUAAGGCUGAGCCAGCAGAUCUUAUCUGCCCCCUGCCCGCUGUUUGCCGUGCCCACCAGGUUGCUACGUUCUCAUUUUAAAAGCCAGGGUUUGCCUUUUCCAUCCCGAGGCCUCCACCGCAGCAGCCGUGCCCACAGCCCAGUGGGAGCAGCGCUCACCCGCCGGUCCCGGCAGCUCCACAGCCACCUCCGGGUCACAACGCCCGCAGCGGUGCAGUGCUCGCGAUUUGGGCUGCACAGCGGUGACGUACGACCCAAUUGUCUCUGACAGCACACGGUGAGAUAAUAUAUUGAAUAAAAAAUAAAUAAAUAGGAGGCAGUGACUAUUUGGAGCCCGAAUUGGGAUUUUCACGUUGUUUGCAGUGCUGCCAUCCCCGCCGAUACACCCGAGCAAAGCCGCGUUUCGCAGGGAGGCCUCGGGGCCGACACUCCUUCCGACAUUUCCCAACCUCUCCCGGGUCCCGUGUGGCGGUGGUGCCGAAAUGCUUUAUUAUUAUACAAACACGGGGCAGGAGGAGAUAAAACAAACACCAAAAGGCACGAAGUCUCCG